CUAAAUAUAAGAGGGAAAUGUAUUGUAACUUAUGUGUUAAGCCAGUUAAAUUAUCACAAUCUCUGUUUUUUUUUUGUUUUUUUUUAAAGGUCAACGCAGAGUUUCAACAAAUCACCACCAUAAAUCUUGAGGCAAAAUUCAUGUCAAUUUUGGACCUUCAUUCCCCUAAACUCCUUUCCAGAGAGAAACAUCGUGCAGAAAUGAAUAUUUCCUACAGAGUGGAAUUUCCAUUCAGAAAACCAUAGAAGUCAUCCGAUCAAUCAUCAAUGAUCAAUCAUCAAUCACCUUGGUGAAGAUGAUCAAAGAGUUUGAGGUGAUGGCUGUGUACCUGUUCCGGAAUAAAAGUGGACAGGUCAAUGAUGUUGGGAUCGUCAUUGAAGGUUCCAUUGUACUCAACCAUCUUGGGGAUCUUAGCAGAUCCUGUUGCUUCCUGCUAGCACUGACCCUAUGCUUUGGAUCUGAAAUAUCCCAAAACUCAUGAAUACAUUUUUGAGUUUGCUUGUGGAAGUGGAUUCCGGAAACCUUUCAGCAAAGGUGCAAAGACUGAAACAAUGUGGUCAUAUAGGUUGCUGAGAGGCAGCUGUUCAGAUGAGAAAAUAUGUUUUAUUUAAUCAGACAAUCUCCAGGUGUGGUCAGGCUCAAAGUGUUGGACAGAUUUCAAUUCUUAUAACAAGAAUGAAUUUAUUACGCUUUAUUUUUCCAUGUCUUUGGGUGUAAACACAUUUACAACAUAAGUUCCUUAUGACUGGGCCAUUUAGUUGUUUAUUCCUUUUAAAACAUUGCUCUGGGUUGUCCUUUUAUAUUCGAAGUAGAUGUGUAUAAAAUCAGUGUCUCACCCUGCCUGCAGACUGUAAUGUGUUGUGUAAAUGUAGAAUGCUAAAAGAUGACUACAGUAUUUUUUGAGUGUAAAUGAUUGAUACCCGAUGGCCGGAGUCAAGUUUUUGCAUCUAACAGGUUCAGAUUGUUAUAAGUGUCUAGCGACAUUGUGAAUAGGAUACCUUAUGCACUUCUCACUUAU